rnacentral:rRNA from 1 species
UGGGGAAAUUUGGACAAUGGGCGAAAGCCUGAUCCAGCCAUUCCGCGUGAGUGAAGAAGGCCUUAGGGUUGUAAAGCUCUUUCGCAAGGGAAGAAAACUUAUCCUCUAACAUAGGGUGAGGCUGACGGUACCUUGACAAGAAGCACCGGCUAACUAC